UGGGGAAUAUUGGACAAUGGGCGCAAGCCUGAUCCAGCCAUGCCGCGUGAGUGAUGAAGGCCCUAGGGUUGUAAAGCUCUUUCACCGGUGAAGAUAAUGACGGUAACCGGAGAAGAAGCCCCGGCUAACUUCGUGCCAGCAGCCGCGGUAAUACGAGGGGGCUAGCGUUGUUCGGAUUUACUGGGCGUAAAGCGCACGUAGGCGGACUUUUAAGUCAGGGGUGAAAUCCCGGGGGCUCAACCCCGGAACUGCCUUUGAUACUGGAAGUCUUGAGUAUGGUAGAGGUGAGUGGAAUUCCGAGUGUAGAGGUGAAAUUCGUAGAUAUUCGGAGGAACACCAGUGGCGAAGGCGGCUCACUGGACCAUUACUGACGCUGAGGUGCGAAAGCGUGGGGGAGCAAACAGGAUUAGAUACCCUGGUAGUCCACGCCGUAAACGAUGAAUGUUAGCCGUUGGGGAGUUUACUCUUCGGUGGCGCAGCUUUAACGCAUUAAACAUUCCGCCUGGGGAGUACGGUCGCAAGAUUAAAACUUAAAUGAAUUGACGGGGAUCAUAGCUG
rnacentral:rRNA from 1 species